GAUGAACGCUGGCGGCGUGCCUAAUACAUGCAAGUCGAGCGAACAGACGAGGAGCUUGCUCCUCUGACGUUAGCGGCGGACGGGUGAGUAACACGUGGAUAACCUACCUAUAAGACUGGGAUAACUUCGGGAAACCGGAGCUAAUACCGGAUAAUAUAUUGAACCGCAUGGUUCAAUAGUGAAAGACGGUUUUGCUGUCACUUAUAGAUGGAUCCGCGCCGCAUUAGCUAGUUGGUAAGGUAACGGCUUACCAAGGCAACGAUGCGUAGCCGACCUGAGAGGGUGGUCCGCCACCCUGGAACUGAGACACGGUCCAGACUCCUGCGGGAGGCAGCAGUAGGGAAUCUUCCGCAAUGGGCGAAAGCUUGACGGAGCAACGCCGCGUGAGUGAUGAAGGUCUUCGGAUCGUAAAACUCUGUUAUUAGGGAAGAACAAAUGUGUAAGUAACUAUGCACGUCUUGACGGUACCUAAUCAGAAAGCCACGGCUAACUACGUG
rnacentral:rRNA from 1 species